AUCCCUUGACAUGGCAUGUUACCCGGAGAGAUUCGGGGUCCACUUCGGUGGCGUGCACACAGGUGCUGCAUGGCUGUCGUCAGCUCGUGUCGUGAGAUGUUGGGUUAAGUCCCGCAACGAGCGCAACCCACGUCCUUAGUUGCCAUCAUUCAGUUGGGCACUCUAGGGAGACUGCCGGUGAUAAGCCGCGAGGAAGGUGUGGAUGACGUCAAGUCCUCAUGGCCCUUACGGGAUGGGCUACACACGUGCUACAGUGGCAGUGACAGUGGGACGCGAAGGAGCGAUCUGGAGCAAAUCCCCAAAAACCGUCUCAGUUCAGAUUGCACUCUGCAACUCGAGUGCAUGAAGGCGGAAUCGCUAGUAAUCGUGGAUCAGCAUGCCACGGUGAAUACGUUCCC
rnacentral:rRNA from 1 species